rnacentral:lncRNA from 1 species
CUCCCUGGACACUCAGCUUCUUCAGAGAACGCUCCCUGGGCUCUGCCCCACUCCUCGCUGCCCCCCAACACCAGACCUGCCAAUUACAACUGGAGUCCCUGGGAAUCCAGACAACCAGCCAGGCCCUGCCUUCCUGCAGCAGUCUCUCAGGGUAACCCCGACUGCAGCUUCUUCCACGCGGUUUGUGGUUUUCUUAGGAAAUACAGCGUUGUAGCCAAUCUCUUAGAGCGCCGAGUCACGCAAGGACUCACUCUUCCUUCAAAGCGACUUUUGUCUAUUGGUUCAUAAGUCUGGAAGGAAGCUGACAAGUCCACCUCACCUGGGUGCGCCAUCACCGUGGCUCAGGGCGGUGCAGGGACUAGCUGGUGCCCAGCAGCAGCUGAGGGCAGACUACCUCCCACCUCAGCACGGUGCCUGUCCAUCUUCCCUGACUCCUGGGGUAUAUAUUGUGAAGAUCAUUAAAGAGGUUUUUAAAAGCCACCCAAUGAAAAAUAUAUUACUGCCUCCUUGUUUAUCUGCUCUUGUUUUAGGACAAAUUGAGGAAAUGAGUCUGGGCGGUUAAAAAUGCAGUGAAUUAGCUGGACACUGGCAACGUACACAAAGGAAGCAGAAGACACAGAUCAUUGGAACCGGCAUUGGUAACCCGGAUAGGAAUCUGAGGUAAGUGCCUAUUUUGGUAGGAUCUCGAGUUAGGACUGAGAAAUAAGUG